rnacentral:tRNA from 1 species
GCCGGCUUAGCUCAAUUGGUAGAGCAACUGACUUGUAAUCAGUAGGUUGUCAGUUCAAGUCCGACAGUCGGCACCA